UGAAACAAAAUGUAUAUUUGUAUGAAUAAUUAAUUUUAGACAGAUAUAAAUAGUUGCAGGUUUAAAAAAGUUUUCAUAAGUUUCAGAACACCAUUCAUUAUGAAUUUCUGGUUGCUGGGAUUAUUAUUAGUGAUAAUAACUUGCGGAUAUGUAUCCACACAGGAUACUUGUCUUCAACCCCAACCAGGAAUUGGUUAUUUUGAACCUUUUUACACGUUGGUCAAUGAUUUAUUUCAAGCUAAUACAAAAGUUGUUUUUACUAUGAUUUAUACAACAUUAAAUUGGCCAUUCUAAUUUUUGAAGAAGAAAAAAAAAACAUUUUUUAAAAUUUAAAUAAAUGUAUUAGCUACUUA